UCAGGGACAGGCAGAGACGCGUAGGCCCCUCUCUUCCUUAUCCAGUGUAGCCCCUGCCCUGAGCUUACAGCAGCUCAGCCUACUCACCAGGCACAGGCUUCACAGGUAAUCUGGCCAUUCCCAGCCAUGGCCAGGGGUCAGUGAUUUCAGCUGGUUCUGAGGACAUGGGGACCACAGUCAAUGGAGAUGUGUUUCAGCCCGUGCACCACCAGCGGGUCCAGCUACAAACCCAGUUGCCAAUACAGCCUAAGGACGAGCCUGCCCACAACUAUUCCAGUUCCAUUUGGCACAGCCAGGGGCAGGGACAGAAGGGCCCUGCAGGACUCCGCCUCCCCACCUCUGCACAGAUCCUCUCUCCUUUCCCCUAAUACUCCCAUCAUCCUCCUUUUAGCUUCUUAGAGGAAUCAGCAGCUCAGCUUAGCUUAGAUUUAGCUGAUCAAUCCCAAAGAAGGAUGUGGCUCAUCCUCUUGGCCAUCCCUGGAGUCGCAGCACACGCUUGGCUGGUGUGGGUCCACAGAGGUUCUCAUGGGUGGGCCCAGCAGAGGGGCCCCUCAGGAGAGGGAUUCUAGGGAGCUAGACUGAGACAAGCCUGGCCCUGACUGUCGCCUCCUGCCUUCUGGUCCUGGCCAUUCCUGCCCCUUUCUCUCUCCAGAGCUUGGGAGGAGUCAGAACAUUGCUCUAGCCGCUGGUGAUCUCUCCUGGUUGCCAACCCUCCUGGCCAUGACUGAUCUCCCCACUGAGAUGCUCAGGAGGCCAACGGUCCUGCUGAUGGCUACGCAGCCAUUGCCCAGGCUGACAGGCUGACCCAGGAGCCUGAGAGCAUCCGCAAGUGGCGAGAGGAGCAGAGGAAACGGCUGCAAGAGCUGGAUGCUGCAUCUAAGGUCACGGAACAGGAAUGGCGGGAGAAGGCCAAGAAGGACCUGGAGGAGUGGAACCAGCGCCAGAGUGAACAAGUAGAGAAGAACAAGAUCAACAACCGGGCAUCCGAGGAGGCUUUCGUGAAGGAAUCCAAGGAGGAGACCCCAGGCACAGAGUGGGAGAAGGUGGCCCAGCUAUGUGACUUCAACCCCAAGAGCAGCAAGCAGUGCAAAGAUGUGUCCCGCCUGCGCUCGGUGCUCAUGUCCCUGAAGCAGACGCCACUGUCCCGCUAGGUGCCUGCUAGGUGCAUGGCCACAGAGCAUGGGCUGGGCCUGGGCACAGGAGGAGCAGCUGCUUUGGUCGGGGUGGAGACUCGCAGCAGCUGCUACCCACAGCCUAUUCCACUCCUCCCCAUCUC
rnacentral:lncRNA from 10 species